rnacentral:misc_RNA from 1 species
CAGAGUUCAUGCCCUACACGGGUAGAUCUCCCACCCUUUGUUAUCAUUACCUUCGUUGCUUUGGCGGGCCGUCAGGCCUCGGUCAGGCUACCGGCUCCAGCUGGUAAGCGCCCGCCAAAGGACCCUAAAACUCUGAAUGUCAGUGUCGUCUGAGUGCUAUAUAAUAGUUA